GCAAAUGGUUAAUGCUCUUGACUGCUAACCAAAAGGCUGGUGGUUCAAGUCCACC
rnacentral:tRNA from 1 species